rnacentral:lncRNA from 1 species
AAAAAGUUGCGAAGAACCACUGAAUUCGGUUGUUAUCUCUUCUUAUUGUGUACUAGCCAUGGAUAACCCCUCUCGAUAUUCAAUCUUCCUUUUCUCUUAUUCAUUAUUUUGUUAUUGUGUUGAUGAACAUGAUUGCAACUUAUCUUUGUCUUUUUAAUUUAAUGAUUAUGAUUUAAUUCUGUUUUUGCUAGAAUAAUUAUGAAACUUUGACAUGUGAUUCUUGAUUCUAUGUUAAGAAUGUC